rnacentral:rRNA from 1 species
GGGCCCGCACAAGCAGUGGAGUAUGUGGUUUAAUUCGAAGCAACGCGAAAAACCUUACCAGGCCUUGACAUCCAACUAACGAAGUAGAGAUACAUUAGGUGCCCUUCGGGGAAAGUUGAGACAGGUGGUGCAUGGUUGUCGUCAGCUCGUGUCGUGAGAUGUUGGGUUAAGUCCCGCAACGAGCGCAACCCUUACUGUUAGUUGCUACGCAAGAGCACUCUAACAGGACUGCCGUUGACAAAACGGAGGAAGGUGGGGACGACGUCAAAUCAUCAUGCCCUUUAUGACCUGGGCUACACACGUACUAAAAUGGUGACGACAAAGGGGAGCAAGACCGCGAGGUGGAGCAAAUCCCAAAACGUCAUCUCAGUUCGGAUUGUAGGCUGCAACUCGCCUACAUGAAGUCGGAAUUGCUAGUAAUCGCGGAUCAGCAUGCCGCGGUGAAUACGUUCCCGGGCCUU